rnacentral:rRNA from 1 species
UACGUAGGGUCCAAGCGUUAAUCGGAAUUACUGGGCGUAAAGCGUGUGUAGGCGGUUUCGCAAGUCCGAUGUGAAAUCCCCGGGCUUAACCUGGGAACUGCGUUGGAAACUACGAAGCUAGAGUGCGGCAGAGGGGGGUGGAAUUCCAGGUGUAGCAGUGAAAUGCGUAGAGAUCUGGAGGAACACCGAUGGCGAAGGCAGCCCCCUGGGCUAGCACUGACGCUGAUACACGAAAGCGUGGGGAGCAAACAGG